rnacentral:rRNA from 1 species
GAUGAAGCCCUUCGGGGUGGAUUAGUGGCGAACGGGUGAGUAACACGUGGGCAAUCUGCCCUUCACUCUGGGACAAGCCCUGGAAACGGGGUCUAAUACCGGAUAACACUCUGUCCCGCAUGGGACGGGGUUAAAAGCUCCGGCGGUGAAGGAUGAGCCCGCGGCCUAUCAGCUUGUUGGUGGGGUAAUGGCCUACCAAGGCGACGACGGGUAGCCGGCCUGAGAGGGCGACCGGCCACACUGGGACUGAGACACGGCCCAGACUCCUACGGGAGGCAGCAGUGGGGAAUAUUGCACAAUGGGCGAAAGCCUGAUGCAGCGACGCCGCGUGAGGGAUGACGGCCUUCGGGUUGUAAACCUCUUUCAGCAGGGAAGAAGCGAAAGUGACGGUACCUGCAGAAGAAGCGCCGGCUAACUACGUGCCAGCAGCCGCGGUAAUACGUAGGGCGCAAGCGUUGUCCGGAAUUAUUGGGCGUAAAGAGCUCGUAGGCGGCUUGUCACGUCGGAUGUGAAAGCCCGGGGCUUAACCCCGGGUCUGCAUUCGAUACGGGCUAGCUAGAGUGUGGUAGGGGAGAUCGGAAUUCCUGGUGUAGCGGUGAAAUGCGCAGAUAUCAGGAGGAACACCGGUGGCGAAGGCGGAUCUCUGGGCCAUUACUGACGCUGAGGAGCGAAAGCGUGGGGAGCGAACAGGAUUAGAUACCCUGGUAGUCCACGCCGUAAACGUUGGGAACUAGGUGUUGGCGACAUUCCACGUCGUCGGUGCCGCAGCUAACGCAUUAAG